UGGUUGCACCUGCAAAAAUCGAUCGAUAUUUUCACAUAUGGCUCUUUAAGGGGCCAACAUGUAAAAAUUGAUUUUCACAGGUGCACCUCUUAAGGGGCCACAUGCGAAAAUAAGCCUACUUUCGUAGGCAGGCCUAUUAAGGAUCCACCUAGAAGGUUAACUUACCUUCUCUUUUCCCUCUCAACACUUAAAAUAUUUUCAAGCAUCAUCCUUGUCCUCUUAUCUCUCUCACCUCCUCUCCACCUUAGACUCCUCUCUUCUCUCUCUCACCUCCUCUCCUCCCUCUCACUGGGCGGCAGCGGGCUCGGCUAUCUUGGGUGAUCGGCGGCGGGCUCGGCCUGCAACAGUCGCCUUGGCUUCCUCGGGAGCUCAGCGAUGGCAGGCUCAAGCAGGAGCGGCUAGCGGCGGGUGGAUCUACCGCCGCUGGCCCCGCGACGGUCGGGUCCGCCGCCGCCGCCCUCGGGACGGCCGGAUCCACGUCGCCAUCGCAAUCGCCAUCUUGGUGGUAGGGUUUUGAUUUUUUUUGGUUUUCUUUGUGCGGAUGACACAAACACCCGCAUGCGAAAAUAGCAAUUUUCGUUUACACUUUCGGGCGGACGGGCGGCUCAACCUCACGCAAAAAUAGAAUCUAACCAUUUGAAAAAUGCUUUCUGUACUAGUGCGACAUACUAUAAUAAGAUGUCCUAGCAUUUCUUUUUGUUGUUGUAGUGGAGAUGUCAUAGCUUAUUCUCAUCAUUCAUCAAGGUUCAUCAUGAGAGAAAUUUUACGGUUCUCGGGAAAGUAUCUGGAGAUAUUAAAAUUUUACACUAAAAUGUAGUACCUUCUGAUACCAUUUUAAGUAUGGUAAAAUUACUCAUCGUGUACAACGGAUUUUAUAACUCAGUACUACUCAAUGUGACCAUACUUCUCUCAGUUUCAUUUUCAUCGAUAUAACUUCACAGCACUAAAUGAAGAAGAAUGGUAUUGGCAAAUUAAUAAACUUAACAAGAAUGGAAUCUAAAAAUAAAAAAAGCUCUGACCUCACCAAUUUCUCUGACACACAAAAAAGAACAUACCUGUCUCUAUCUCUCCCCUCUCUCCCCUGUACACGUGUAGUGUGUACAUCCACUAACAGUUUCUGGUUGAUACAUGCAUGAAUCAGCAGAGCAGAUGGCUAGCUUAACUCAAUUUUUGUUUUUAGCCUUUGCUGCACCUUCUUUAAAGAACAGAAUUCUAAAGUGAUAGCCACUAACCCAUGGAGACUGUUUCAUGUAGUUGACAAAUCUACAGAUUUGAUUUGGUCCAAAUUUAUAUAUAGGCCUCAACAUUCACGCACCCUCCCAAACUACAACAUUGUGGCAUAUCAUUCCAUUAGCUUGUUUAUACUAAAGUACAUGACCUGCCGACUUAGCCAUUUUUUAUUUACUUCAAAUCCUGAGUAUAAACGUCAGAUCUGACUGCAGAUGAACUCCAAAUUCAGAGUUUCAGAGAGUUAUUUAUAUAUCAGUUACUCCUAUACUUGCAGGGCAUAAACAAAACCGGAAGGUCAAACAGUGAGGCCACCAUGAAUGUAACCCUUAUAAUGUAGUAUAAGAAAUUAAGAGUCAAUUUAAGUUUACCUGCCUAUAUCAUGAUUUGUUUGUGAGAGUUGUUGACAAAUUAAUUAGUCUUGUAUAUAUGUCAGCUGAUUAGUAAGGUAAGCUAAUAUUAGGCCAUGUGUUUUCGGCAAAAUUACUCUAAAAUUCACUCUCUGAAUUUGACAGAUUAAUUAGUCUCCUAACGCCAGUUGAUAAGAUAAGGCUAAGUGUUUCCUGUAAAAUUACUCUAAAAUUCUCACUCACUACAAUAGUUUUCAAGUUAAGAUUCAGUAAUUGGUUUUAUUAAUUGAGAUGUAUAGCUACGAUGUGGCGCUGAGGGUUGACAAAAUGUUGUAUCUUUAGUAAACAAAAGCACUGAAGCUUUUUAGCCAUUCUGUUCAUAGUUUAUAUAUUUCUGUCUCAGCCUGCGAGGCAGAAAUGUAUAUUACUCGUGUCCUUAUCACUCUUGUGCUUUAAAAGACAAAUUAAAUCAUUAAGAAUUCUCUGCAAGUCAAAACACCAGGAGAUGACGAGACUGAUGAUCAAGAUUUGUUUUUUCUUAACAAUGUUUCAGCCACCAUUAUUAUUAUUUUCUGUCAGAAGUCAAUACAUUUAUUUCAGAAUACUAGCAAGAAAUCAACGCAAUGCUCUGCACUACCUACAUUUGUCAACGUUUCUAAGGCCAUCUAUAAAUGUCUUGGAGUUUUGACCUAACUCACACAAGCUCUAAUCGUCUCUUUCUCGGUUCAUCACCUGAACUGAUCAACUGCAAAGCGUCCGAGUUGCAGUGUUCAGUUCGCUAAUCCGAUUGCAUUUCGGAGAGAUGGCUGCAAGGUGUUCGAUCGCGUUCAUGGUCAUGGCGAGCUGCCUGUCCGUCGUCGUCUCCGGUGGGCUUCCCGGCGAUCUCUUCGCGCACAGUGUCGCCUCGAAGCUCCGCGUCGACCGCGACACGACGGCGAGGGCGUCGUCGGACUUCGGCCGCAUCGUGGCGGCCGCGCCGGAGGCGGUGCUCCACCCGGCCACGCCGGCCGAGAUCGCGGAGCUCGUCCGGUUCUCGGCGUCGUCGCCGUCGCCGUUCCCCGUGGCGCCGCGCGGGCAGGGCCACUCUGCCCGCGGGCAGUCGCUCGCCCCCGGCGGCGUCGUGGUCGACAUGCGUGCGCUGGCGGCGCGCCGCGGCCGCGUCAACGUGUCCGCGGGCGGCGCAGGCGCGGCGCCGUACGUGGACGCCGGCGGUGAGCAGCUGUGGGCCGACGUCCUCCGCGCGACGCUGGAACACGGCCUGGCGCCGCGCGUGUGGACGGACUACCUCCGCAUCACCGUCGCCGGCACGCUCUCCAACGCCGGCAUCGGCGGCCAGGCGUUCCGGCAUGGCCCGCAGAUCGCCAACGUGCUCGAGCUUGACGUCAUCACAGGUAAUUAACUAAAUAGUCCAAUUACACAUGAACACUUUUAACACUGAUAAUUAAAUGAUUGAGCGACUAUUAACAUUGUUGACAAUUGGAAUCCAGGAAGGGGAGACAUGGUAACAUGCUCUAGGGACAAGGAGCCGGACUUGUUCUUCGCGGUUCUCGGUGGGCUGGGCCAGUUUGGGAUCAUAACCCGGGCUCGGAUUGGGCUUGAGCCUGCCCCAAAGCGGGUUCGAUGGGUCCGCCUCGCCUACUCGGAUGUGGUGACCUUCACCAGAGACCAAGAGCUGCUCAUAUCAAAGCGAGCUAGUGAAGCAGGGUUUGAUUAUGUCGAAGGACAAGUCCAGCUCAAUCGGACACUCACAGAGGGUCCCAAAUCAACACCCUUCUUCUCGCGUUUCGACAUUGAUAGGCUUGCGGGACUUGCGUCAGAGUCUGUGUCAGGAGUAAUAUACUUCAUUGAAGGUGCCAUGUACUACAACGAGUCAACUACUGCCUCUGUUGAUCAGGUAGGGAAUUAUGAUCCGUUUGCAAUUAGUAUAUACCACCACAAAAAAUACUAUUGUGCUUUACCCCCUCAAAGGGAAUGGUGAAUAAUCUUUUAUUAAUGAUUAAUUUUGUUAUUUCCUUGCAGAAACUGACGUCAGUACUAGAACAACUCAGUUUUGACAAAGGCUUUGUGUUCACAAAGGAUGUGAGCUACGUGCAAUUCCUUGAUCGUGUGAGGGAGGAGGAAAGAAUACUCAGGUCUAUCGGCAUGUGGGAUGUGCCACAUCCAUGGCUAAACCUCUUCGUGCCCCAGUCUCGCAUCCUUGACUUCGACACCGGUGUGCUCAAGGGUGUUUUUGUUGGUGCCAAUCCUGUCGGUGUCAUCCUCAUGUACCCCAUGAAUAGGAACAUGUGGGAUGACCGUAUGACAGCGGUGUCUGGUAAUGAUGACAUGUUCUAUGUCGUUGGGCUACUCCGGUCUGCGGUUGUCCCCGGAGAUGUGGAACGCCUGGAGAGGGAGAAUGAGGCAGUUCUAGCGUUCUGUGAUAAUGAGGGCAUCGGGUGCAAGCAAUAUCUACCACACUACGCAUCACAAGAUGGGUGGCGAAGCCAUUUCGGGGCCAAAUGGAGCAGGGUUACCGAGCUAAAGGUAAAGUAUGACCCAUAUGGGAUACUUUCACCAGGGCAGAGGAUUUUCUCGUCACUGACACCAAUGGCAUUGGUGGCUAUGUGAAAUGGUAGUUUUGAGGUGAAGACUGAGUAGUUUAGGUGUUUGUGGAUUCAAUUUUGAGGUUAUAUAGGAUGAAAGUAAAUUGAGUUGAAUGCGAGAAGCUGAAAUACUGGUCAGAACUCUGGAAGAAGGAUUGUAGCUUUAUUUUAGGAGAUACAUGUAGGAAAGUUAACUGUAUAUCAUUAAUUUUAUUAGGAGGUUGUUCUAGGUUGUAUUUGCCACACUAAUUUUUUUAGGAUUUCUUUUGUUUAGCAAGGCAUGCAAAUGUAAUAAACAUAGGAAGAUUUGUACAAAGGAAAUAAAGGGUUGCUUGAAAUCAUUUUAUGUAGUUUGAAUUUCGAAAAAAAUAUGAAAUUGUUUUUUUUUCUCUGGUGUAUGGUGAUGAUGCCAUUCGGUGUUGGAAUGUAUUUUUCGAAUUCAUUUCUUGCACUAAUUUUGAUUUUUGAUACAUCCAUUUUUCAUAUGUUGGUUGCAGAUUUAACUUGAGUUUAUAGUUCCCAUAUGUUAAUGAAGGACACAUUCCAUAAAUGUUGUGUUUGGUGCUAUGUUUUUCUAUUACCCACCUCCUUUUUUUAUAAUGAAAUGCUUCGUUUUGGAAUUGGUUGAUGCAAUACGUCCACUUUGUUAAAAUAAUAUCAUAAGAAGAAAUAACAUAAAUGUUAAUACAAUGACAAGAACAUUAUAAAAAGUACGCACAGUUUGAUUUUUGAGAAAGCAAAUAUGAAACCGCCACUUCUUUUGCUUGGUAUGGUGAUGAUACCAUUUGGUGGUGGGGUGGCUUUUGAAAUUACUUUCUUGUUCUUAUUUUAGGUAUAACUAUUUUCAUAUGUUUUCUUGCAUAUCCAACUUGAGUGUAUAAGUUAUGUAUGCAAAUGAAAAAAAUAUUCUAUAAUAUAUGGGUGGAGGAAUUCAUAACAAUUUUGUGGUUAGUGAUCACAUUUUCCAUUAAGUCAUCCUUUUUUACAAUUAAAUUGUUCAUUUUGGAAUAGAUUAAUGUAAGGCAUCCACUUUGUAUGUAAAAAAUAGAUCACAAGAAGAAAGGACAUAAUACUUAGACCAAGGCAUGGAAAUUAUGCAAAAGGGACCCAUAAGCACUUAACAAAAAAGUAUAUCCUUCUUUCUAACAAAUGACUACAUAGAUCAUUGUGUUGCACACAUCCAUAACUUUUUGACUUUGUGUUUAUUUACACUUUGGAAAAACAAGGACAAGAAUAAAAAAUCGGAAGCGCUACAAUAUUGAUAAUGAAGGACACGAUGGCCAAACAAAAAUCACACCACAAUGUUUCUACAUAGCCACGCUAGCAAACUUGUUAUGAAAUAGUUUAAACUAGGUGAUGGGUGAUAUUGGAACUAGGGUUCCUCACAUCGCAAACAUGGGGCAGCUUGGUGCCAUGACAUCCAUUCCCCGAGCUCUAAAGGGUAGCACCGGUCUGUCGUGAUGAUCAUGCACCCUGAUGGACUCGGUUGAAAGUGCGGUCCGAUGAAGACUAGCUUCUUGGGGGUCCCGAGCAAGUCGUCCCCCGAGCACCCAUCAAGGCCGUAUCCCCGAUCUCUUGGGAUGUGCUGUCUAGAGCAUGGUUGGCCCCAAGCACCUACGGUCUACCUAGCGCCGCAAGAAAGUGCUCAAGAGUCAAACUGCUUCUAAUGGAUUUAAUGUGUUGGAGCGAUGAGUGUCGUCCCUCUUGGGGCAAGAUUACAAAUAUCUACCUGUCCAUGCAUGCAGCACAGGGGACAUGAUGAACCUUAUCAUCUAUCCGUCGAGGAACGAUGUGGCUGGUAGGCGGUACGGUUCACUUUGUGAAGUCGUCUGGCCCACCACAUUUUGCCCACUCCACAUGGACACCGAUAGGUGGGGCCACGGGGCACUGACUAUGGAUGACGACGCCCUCAUUAAAUCACCCUAAAGCUAGUGGGUACCAAUUGAGGGCACAUGGCAGGUGCUCACGCCCCUUCCCCCUUCGGCUCUGCUCGAAAGAGGACCACAACAAUGAGCAUAAUGGGCAAGUUGGGAUAGCAUGAAACCCGAAGGAAGAUGUUGUCAGGUUAAGCUAGAUGUAGUCUAUGACAUGUACCCUUAACCCAUCCCUUUGGUACGAUCAUUGUGCUUCCACCUGGAUUCUAUAAGGGGAGGGACUGAAACCAUGAGAAAGGGUUGGAAAAUUCUAACUGGAACUUAGGCAAAGAAAUAGCACACAACACACAGGAGUUCGGUAUUACACCCCUGAGCGGCCUGAACCUGUCUAAGUUCUCCUUGAUUAUUUCUUUUCCCGUUCCGAGGUAGCUCAAGGUCUUCCUCCCCUAGCCUAACUCAAAGGGGUCCCAUCGGGUCCCUGCUACUGGUGUUCACCCAUCGAUAGCAAAGACAUAAUACUUACUCCCUCCGGUUUUAAAUUAGUUGACGCUUGGAGCUUGGACACUUUGGAUGAAAAAACUUGACGUUUUAGCCUCAUGUGAUUAUUUUAGACUGAUUUACUCUUGUAUGGCUGCAUGCAUGCAAAUCACAUUUAGUGACUUGAUGCAUCGAGUCCUGCACAACACUGCAUCCUCUCCUACAUCACAUUAACCUGAUGCAUCGGGACAAGCAGCCACAACCACUAGGUUAAGAGGAUGUGAUUGUUAGAUGUGCCGUCCUAAUGUAUUUAGUAUGGGUAAAACAUGAAUAUGCACCCUAACUAACUAUUUCUUGAUAUGUGAGAUCCUACCAAAAAUAUCAAUUAAUUUGAAACCGGAGGGAGUAAGAAUUAAUAAGGCGGAAAAAUCAUGAAAAGGGACUCGUAAACACUUGCCCCCCUCCCCCCCCACCCCCCCAAAAAAAAAUCCUUAUUUCCAACAAUUGACUAUAUAGACCACAGUGUUGCACACACAUGUAACUCAUUGACUUUACGUUUAAUUACACUUUGGAAAAAAAGGGACAAGAAUAGAAAAUCGGAAGAGCUACAAUAUUGAAAAUGGAGGACAUGAUGGCUAAACAGAAAAUCACACCACAAGGUUUAGCUUUGUUUUUUUUCGUUUUCUUUUUUUGGCUUUGCUUGCUGCAGCUUCUUAAAGAACAGAGAUGAUCGCCACUAACCCAUGGAGACUAUUCCGGUAGUUGACAUAUCUUCAGAUUUGAUUUGGUUGAAAAUUAUAUAUAUGGCUCUACAUUCCCGCAUCCUCCCAAACUACAACCUUGUAGUAUUUCAUUUCAUUACCUUGUUUAUCUUGUUUAUGCUAAAGUAAAUGACCUGCCGACAUAGCCAUUUUCUAUUUAGUUCAAAUCUUCAGUAUAAUAUUUGUUUGAAACUUUCUGUAGAAGUUUCUGAUAGGAUUGCACACGAUCAAACUCCAAAUUCAGAGUCUAUGUUAUAUAUAUAUGCCGGAUAUAAACAAAACGGAAGGUUAAACAGAGAGGACACCAUGAAUGUAAGCCAUAUGAUGUACCGAGUAAGAUAGUAAGAGUCAAUUUAAGUUUACCUGCAUAUAGCAUGAUUUGUAUAUGAUUUGUUAGUGAGAGUUGUUGACAGAUUAAGUCGUCCUGCAUCUCAGUUGAUUAUGAAGGUAAGCUAACAUUAGGCCAAGUCUGUAAAAUUACUUUAAAUUUCAUGCAUUAAAUUUGACGGACUAAUUGGCCAUGAAAUUUUUUUUUCUAAAGAUUGAUUACUUAAUUAACACAAUAAAUUUAUAUUUUCAGAAAUAAACUUCAUAAAUAUCUUAGAAUAAGUGAUCUAAACAAUAAAGAAGCUUUUUUUUAUAAAUAUAUAUUUAGAAGCGUAGAACAAAUAAUCCAUAGGAAAAAUCUUGAAAAAAAGCUUUGAACAAACUGGUCACAAAUAGCUCGGAAAAAGUGAUCUCCUAACACCAGUUGGUUCUGAGAUUUAAGACAAGACAAGGCUAAGCUAGGUGUUUGCUGUAAAGUUACUCUAAAAUUUGCACGCUCUAAAAUUGUUUUCAAGUUAAGAUCCACUAUUUGGUUUAUUGAGAAUUUGAGAUAGAUAGUUAUGAUGUGGUGCUGAGUGAGUGUUGACAAAAAUUUGUAUCUUUAGCAAACAAAAGCAGUAGUGAACCUACCAGAAUGGUUCAAAAUCUUAAUUUUUUUAGACAUAGUGUUCAUAGUUUAUAAAUGUCUCAGCCUGCAAGACAGAAAUAUAGUAUUACUUUCUUUGUUCUUUAAAAGGCAAAAUCAUUAAGAAUUCUCUGCAAGUCAAAACAUCAGGAGAUGACGAGACUGAUCAAGUUUUGUUUUCUUCUAACAAUGUUUCAGCCUCCAUUAUUCAUUUUUCUCUCAGAAGUCAAUCCAUCAGAAUACUAGCAAUAAAUCAAUGCAAUGCUGUGCACUACCUACAUUUGUCAACGUUUGUAAGGCCAAAAUGCUACCUAUAUAAAUGUCAUGGAGUUUUGACCCAACACAACACACACAAGCUAAUCAUCUCUUUCUCUAAUCAGUCCAUCACCUGAGCUGAGCAGCAAAGCAUCUGAGUUGCAGUGUUCAGUUCGCUAAUCCGAUUGCAUUUCGGAGAGAUGGCUGCAAGGUGUUCGAUCGCGUUCAUGAUCAUGGCGAGCUGCCUGUCCGUCGUCGUCUCCGGUGGGCUUCCCGGCGAUCUCUUCGCGCUCAGUGUCGCCUCGAAGCUCCGCGUCGACCGCAACUCGACGGCGAGGGCGUCGUCGGACUUCGGCCGCAUUGUGGCCGCCGCGCCGGAGGCGGUGCUCCACCCGGCCACGCCGGCCGAGAUCGCGGAGCUCGUCCGGUUCUCGGCGUCGUCGCCGUCGCCGUUCCCCGUGGCGCCGCGCGGGCAGGGCCACUCUGCCCGCGGGCAGUCGCUCGCCCCGGGCGGCGUCGUGGUCGACAUGCGCGCGCUGGCGUCGCGCCGCGGCCGCGUCAACGUGUCCGCGGGCGCGGCGCCGUACGUGGACGCCGGCGGCGAGCAGCUGUGGGCCGACGUCCUCCGCGCGACACUGGAACACGGCCUGGCGCCGCGCGUGUGGACGGACUACCUCCGCAUCACCGUCGCCGGCACGCUCUCCAACGCCGGCAUCGGCGGCCAGGCGUUCCGGCACGGCCCGCAGAUCGCCAACGUGCUCGAGCUUGACGUCAUCACAGGUAAUUUACUAACUAAUACAACUCAUCAUCCCCUUUAAUUAGCAAUCUAAUUAACUUGUACUAAUGAACAUUGUUAACAACAUUAAUCAAAUGAUUAAGCGGCUAAUGAACACUGUUAACAAUGAUUAAUGCAGGAACGGGUGAUAUGGUGACGUGCUCAAGGGACAAGGACUCGGACCUGUUCUUCGCGGUGCUGGGUGGGCUGGGCCAGUUUGGGAUCAUAACCCGGGCUCGCAUUGGGCUCAUGCCGGCUCCGAAGCGGGUGCGAUGGGUCCGGCUCGCCUACUCGGAUGUGGCCACGUUCACUAAAGACCAGGAGCUGCUUAUAUCAAAACGGGCUAGCGAAGCCGGCUUCGACUACGUCGAAGGACAAGUCCAGCUCAACCGGACACUCACCGAGGGUCCCAAGUCGACGCCCUUCUUCUCUAGCAGCGAUAUUGGCAGGCUUGCUGGACUUGCCUCGAAGUCUGUGUCAGGAGUGAUCUACGUAAUCGAAGGCACCAUGUAUUACAAUGAGUCAACCAGCACCACUAUGGAUCAGGUAUACAAUUAUGAUCCAUUUGUGUUCAAUAGAUACCAUGUAAAAGUACUAUUGUUAUCUAUGGCCUCAAAGGAAAUAAUGGAUAUUUUGUUAAUGAUCAAUGUAUUGGUUUCCUUGCAGAAAUUGGAGUCAAUACUAGGGCAGCUAAGCUUUGAGGAAGGCUUCGUGUUCACAAAGGAUGUGAGAUACGUGCAAUUCCUUGAUCGUGUGAGGGAGGAAGAAAGGGUGCUCCGAUCGAUCGGCAUGUGGGAUGUUCCGCACCCAUGGCUAAACCUCUUCGUCCCUCGAUCACGCAUCCUUGACUUUGAUGCUGGUGUGUUUAAGGGUGUCUUCGCUGGUGCCAACCCUGUUGGCGUCAUCCUCAUGUAUCCCAUGAAUACGAAUAUGUGGGAUGACUGUAUGAUGGCAGUGGCCAGCGACGAUGAUGUGUUCUACGCUGUGGGGUUGCUCCGUUCUGCGGCAGUUAUUGGUGAUGUGGAACGCCUAGAGAAAGAGAACGAGGCGGUGUUGGCAUUCUGCCAUAAUGAGGACAUCGGGUGCAAGCAGUAUCUGCCAUAUUACACAUCACAAGAUGGGUGGCAACGCCAUUUCGGUGCUAAGUGGAGCAGGGUUGCCGAUCUAAAGGCGAAGUAUGACCCACACAGGAUAUUGUCACCAGGACAGAGGAUUUUCUCAUCACCAGCAUCAAUGGUGGUGGUGUCUAUGUAGUCGGUCAAAUGAUAAUUUUGAGGUAAGGAGGAGUAUAGAUAAUUAGGUGUUUAGGGAUUUAGUUUUGAGGUAACGGAGGGUGAAAAGCAAGUUAAGUUGCUUGUGAGAAGCUGAAAUGCUGAUAAAACCCAAAGAACUCUAGAAGAGGGAUUGCAACUUGUUCUUAGAAGAUAUAUGUAGAAAAAAAAAUCUGGAUAUGGUUGAUUCAAUUAGGAGGAUGCUGUAGGUUGUAGUUGCCACGUUAUUUUUUUUUAGGUUUCCUUUUGUUUAGCAAGGCUUGUAAUGUUACACACACGUUAAUGAAACGAUUCAAAGGGAACAAACUAAGGUUGUUUGAAAUCAUUCCGUGUAGUUUUGACUUUUGAGAAAGAUCAUGAAAUCAUUCUGUGUAGUUUAAUCUUUUGAAAAAGAAAGCUUAACUGGAUUUGGUGUUGGAGUGGCUUUUCAAAUUCCUUUCUUGCAUUUUACUAAUACAACAUUUUUCAUAUGUGGUGCUGUAGAGUCACGCGUUAGUACAAUAACGCGCAGCCGUUUUCUUGCUGGGGCGGACACGUAUUUCUCUCUAAAGGUGAAGACUCAGAAGUGGGCGAACACUCGGCCCAGCUGGAGAACAUGCUGGCUCCGGCUCCACGCACCUGCUGACACCUUUCGAAGCACUUUCACGUGUGAACCGAAGUCGUCUUUCAACUUGAGUCUAGGUUCUGUAUGUCAAUGUAAGAGGAAUUUUAUAUAUAUAUAUAUAUAUAUAUAUAUAUAUAUAUAUAUAUAUAUAUAUAUAUAUAUAUAUACUCAUAUUUUCUGUUACGCCGUCUUUUUUACAAUUAAACAACUCAUUCUAGAAUAGGCAGAUGUAAUAAGGUAAUAAGGCAUCAACUAUAUCAAUCCUACAUGGGCUACAUGGCCCUUAAUUUCAGCCCAUCUUUUGAGCCUAGCCUUAACAAUCAAUCCUUGGAGGGAGUAAGUUCACAUACCGUCCCUCAAUUUUACACUGUGUUUGUUUGACAUCACUUAUCCUCAGUUCUAGAAAUCUUCGUCCCUAAACAAUACAAAACAGUUCAAUUUAGGUCCUAUAGCAGUAUAGAUGCCUGGUUUUACUGAUGUGGCAUCCUAGUCAGCAAGAAAAGAUUAAAAAAAAGUAUAUGGGACCCACAUGUAAGUGAGAAAAAAAUGUAGGGUCCACAUCUUCAUUUUUCCUUCUCUUUUCUCUUUUCUUUUAUUCUCUUUCCUUCUUCAGCCGCUGCUGUUGGGAAUCUACCACGGUGACGACGUGCAAAAGGAUAAGCUCCGUGAGAGGCGGCGGCGGCGGGCGAGAGCGGCAGUCGCAUCUUCCUCCUCUCCCGCCGGCACAGCCCGCAACCUCCCCCCCUCUCCCGCCAGCCUCUUCCCCCCUCUUCUCUGGCUGGCCUCCUCCCCUCUUCUCCCACCGUCGCCGCCGCCGCUUCGCUCCACUCCGCCGCCCGCUUCCGUGCAAAGAGAAAACAAAAGAAGAGAAAAAGGAACAUAGAAGAAGAAGAAAAUUUUAAAAAAAGAAGUAAAUGGUGGAAAGAAGGUAUGCGGGUCCCACAUUUUUUCUCACUUACACGUGGGCCCAGAUUGCUGAGGAUGCCACGUCAGUGAAACCACUCAUAUAUACUAUCAUAGGACGUUGAUUGCACGGUUUUAAACAUUUGAGGGGUGAAGAUUUCUGGUUUUGGGGAUUAGGAAGGCCAUACACACUCGACGUAAAGUUGAGCGACGGCAGGUAAAUGGAUGAGUCUCCUGUGACGUAAAGUCAGAGAGACUACACGUCAGUGACCCACAUCCCUCUGACUUUACGUCAGAGGAGCGACAUGCUUGGCAACUCUCUAAGGUGGCAUUUGUUUCUACUGAAGAUAAACGAUAGAAAAAGUUGAUAGAAAAAAAUUAGUACAUGAUUAAUUAAGUUUUGAUUAUUAAAAACUUAAGAAAUAGAUUUAUCUAUUAUUUUAAAGCAACUUUUAUAGAAAAAUUUCAUACGAUAUGUACCGUUUAGCAUUAUAAAAAACAUGCUAAUAGAAAUCAAGAUAAAAUAUAUAUCUUAAUCAGAAAAAAGAGAUGAGUACUGGGAGUCUUUUUUUUAUAAUGGAUAAAAAUCUGGCUCUAUAUCCACAUGUGGAUAUACACCGCCAUUUUGUUGUUAGAUAAGCGAACUAAUAGUAAGAUUAGGAUGAAUAUUUGAUUUUUUUUUCAAGUCCCGGUAUUUUGUUUGACAUAUAGAAGUGGUGGGAAUUGGUAGAGAGAUUAAAUAGAGAUAAGAUCUCAAGGAAAAAGAAAUAUACGGUUGAAAUUUAUUUGGAUAAUGCAAAGAAGGAAUUGUCUUUCAACUCUCAGCCCCUUAUAUUAAGGAGGGUUCCCUCAAUCGUCAUUCUCAUCGCACCAAAAUCCCACAUCCAUUAACCAAAGAAUCAAACGAACCAAACAUUAGCCGCAUCCCUCCAAACUUUACUGUCUUUCUUGUAAAUAUCACGGUAUAUUCACACUAAAAGAUGAAAAAAAAAUGAAAACUAACAUGAGACUGUGUUACCUUAUCAAUGGGAGGAACUUCCGGCUGAGCUGCUAGCUUAUGUGUAGUACGUGUAAUUAUAUAUCUUAAAAGAAGAUUAUGUGUACUGUAUAUCACAAAAAUAAUUGAUACAUCUGCAUUGCACUUAAAGUAUGUGGUAGUAUACAAUAUCCUCUUUUAAAACCUCGUAAAAAAUUUCCUCUCUAAGAAAAUAAUAUUAACUCUAUUUUACUUGUAGUUUAAAGGGCCGUCAUAAUAAGAAAUGUACAUGUUUUAUCAUUAGAUUUUUUUAAAUCACUUGUAAAAUAAUCAAAUUAUUAAAAAUAGCUGCAAGAGAGUAUUUUUGUGAUAGAUAUAUACUAAUGUUAUUUCCGCAUUUAUUCUUUUUUAUAUUAGUGAGUAUAAUUUCAAGAUUUAGCCAAAAAUCUAUUUAAAACAACAUCUAUCUAUAUGAAAACAUAUCCAAUAUUUAGCACCCUCCAAAGGAAACUACUCUCCUUUUCUAACCGGUGAGUAGUUUCUUUUCCAUAUGAAAACAAUCCAAUAUUCUGUACAUUGCAAUGGGCCCAUCUGACCCAGAAUAGGCCAGGACUGUGGAUCAAGUUUAAACCAUUGGAUCAUCCAAUUUAUUUUAUUAACCAAUCUUAAUUUCUUAAUUUUGUUUUUAUGGGGAGGCAGUGGUUACACUUCACGCGACGUGUGCACAACGUGGAGAGGAGAGGAUGGACACUCUGCUUUUUAGUAGAUAAGCAUUUAUAGGAUUUAAAUUAUAUAUAUAAUAUAAAGUAUUUAAAAUUUAAAACUUAAUUUUAAUUUAUAGUUGAUUUAAUGGUUUUAGUUGCAAUUUGUUUACCAGCAUUGGUUUUCACGACGUUUUAAGUCGCUAAGAACAAUAUGUCUAAAAGGUUUACUCAUAAGUUAUUUUCUUAUUGUUAAUAAGCGUUAUGACUUAUAAUCAGCUGUACGCCAAGCGAUGGGCUGCUAAAAAUAUUUAUAUUUAGGAGAGGAGGGUAUAUGUACUAGCUAGUGGUACUUCUCAGUUCUUAUAGAGAAAUAAAGGGUGGUAUAAUGAUAUUGCCAUGUGGGAUGAAGGCAUCAAAAGGUACAAAAUAAAAUGUCCAAAUGCAUGGAUACACAAGUUUCUGACAUGCUCAUGGCGUACCCCUGGCUUGUACAGUAUCAGGUAAGGUCCCUACUACGUACUAGCCAUGUUCGAAUGAUCGAUGGUAAUCAUUCAUAACCAUUUAGUCUCGUCUAGUUGGUAGACCACUUAACCUCAAAUCUUUUUGUCCACUAAGCUAUUAAAAAUGAUCUCACUUUACUCCCUCAUGAUAUUUGUAUAUUUGUCUCUUUUUACAUAUGGCAUAUUUUAAAUUGAAAAUAUAUGAGAUAUGAUAGGGAGCAUUAUAUAUACCUCAUGCCUUAGAUUUUUCUUGAAAUUUUUUAUCACUAUUUGCAUAGGUUAGAAGCAAUUGGGAUUGAUUCAAAAAUCAGGAUUUAUAACUGAAUGGAAACUUUCAUAGAGAAAUUAGAAGUAUUUUUCACAGGUUAUAUUGUUAUGGUUCUAAAAAAAUAAACAUAUUUGUAUAAAGAGUAAAAAAGGAAACAUAGAGAAGGAAAAUAUUGUUCAGCGUAAAUUAAAGAAGCCGAAAAAUGCUAUGGAAGGUUAAGUGUGAUAAAAUGGUAAAUUGGCAUUGUAGCUCAACACGAUCUUUUGCUAAUUACUAUACCUAUAUAUGUAACUUCUAUAUAGAUGGUAUCCAUUGUACCAAUUAUUAGAAGGUAAAGCGCAACAUGUAAAUAUACCGCAUCAUUAUCUACUAGCAAUUACUAUACAAAGCAUCUUAAUUCACAUGCAGGCAUGACACAUUUAAAAUAUCAUAUUAUAUAGUUGAACAUAUAUAAGUAUGUUAAAUCAUCUUUCUUACAUUAUUUUUCACAAUAUUUUAACAUUUACUAUUUCUAUAAUAUUUAGCAUAUAUAUUCAUUCAUUUCAUAGUAAAGCACAAUGUAUCACCCAAUUACUAUCUUAUAAGAUGCAUUAAAUAAUUUUCGGAUUGGAUUGGCUACAAAUUGUGUCGUUUGUUUUCAAAUCCUAUAUCACUACUAUGAAAACGAUUUCCGUAGAUGAGAUCCUUUUUUUCUUUCCUUGGCGGGUAUGUUUUUUGGCAUCAUAGGUGAAUGGGGGACGGGGGGCGAGAAUUUUUGGCACCAUAGACCAUUUUUGACCACCUAGAAAAAAUAGUUUUUCUAGUAGUGUAUGAUGCUCGGAUUAGGCCACCAGCACCGGCUAAUUUACCAUGUGGUCUAUUUGGCCUAGAUCUAAGAUUUAGGAAGAGAAGAACAUAAUGUAAAAUCUUUUCUGCGCACUUAUGUUUUUCUAAGAAUAUACAAAUACCGCAAGACCCCACAAACUAUACAUGACUCUUCUCUGUUCAUUAUAUGUGAUUUCUAUUAAUCUCCCAACAAUCGUUACAUGGUACAUAUAUAUUUUCUAGUUAUACUAGUUAUACAUACGUUGGUAGUUAAUAUCGAUUCUCUACGUUAUUACUAUCAGUGUGGUGACCUAUGUAUCAGCGAGCAAUACGCCAAUACCACGGGUAUAGUGUAGUAGUACUGCAGAGGACCUCAUCUGGUUUGGUUUUCGACUACAGUGUCCUGUCCGGGCCCCGGCUGGCUUUAGCAUGAAAUGCCAAGAUGCUACAUGCAGCCCUGCAGCCAUUUGGGGCCCUGCUGCUGCCAAGAUGCCACCUCGGCCCCGGUCGAAAAACCACACAAUGACAUACUCAUCUUUUUCCCUUCGCCACAUCGCAUCUCUCAUCUUAUCUUAGCUUUUUGUUGGUACUUCCGAUAUCAUUUCUUCCUGUGAAUAAUUUUUUUAGUAUCAUUAUUUGUGUUGCCAAAAUUAACAUAGGUUGGUUUAGCAUGCAUUGGGUAGGUAUUUGGGUAGUACUAAUCCAUGAUGUCAAAUCUUGCGAAAGGGCCUGUAGCCUAGUGGUUACAAGAGACUCAGUAGCACCUGAGGUCCUAGGUUUGACUCCCCAUGGGAGCAAAUUUUUCAGGAUUUAACGGCGUUGUGCUUUCAGUGGUAGACGACGUACCCGUCGACAGCAAGGCGCAUGUGGUGACUUCGUCAAUCUCUCCAGAAUUUGCUUUAUUAGGGGGUGAAUGCGCGUGUGUUGUGAGUGUCUGCGUUGUACUGUGUAAUUCUAAAAAAAAAAUCCACUACCUGUUUACAGAUUGUCCAGAGUUAAAAGGACCCUUUUAAUUUGUUGUGUGGUAAACUUUUGCAGUUUCGCUAGAGUGGCCUGCAUUGGAUGCUGCGCUGCGUGGCUGGUGGGCAGCGCACUCGUCCGUGAACCACCAAAAGAUCUUUUCUUUUGUUUUUUUACACUACCGUAAAGCCACGAAGAGAAGGUGGGGUACUGGUUUUUGUUGGAGAAAUUAAUUCUUCCCUUAAUUAAUUAGAUUAGUUUAAGAUUAAUUUUUUGUUUCGAGAAACACGGUAUAAACAUAAACGCUUACACAACACACGCACACUCACCCCUCUAUAAACACACACGUAUGCAAUAUUUCUAUGAGCACCUACGAAAAACUGAGCUGACAUAUAUUGAGAUUGUCAAAGUCAUCACUGAUAUCUCGCUGUCCAUAAUUAUGUCAUAUAUCACUGAAAAAAUAAUUAGCCGUAAAAAUAAACACCCUUAUCAAGUCUAGGAUUUAAACGUACUUCUUAUAUAUGCCUAUUUAAUUAAAGUUUGCAAUACAUAUUGUAUACAGUUACUAAUCUAUUUGGUGCGAGGUUGGACUUCGAUUAUGGUCAAAUGAGACGAAUUGGACCAAAAUUUGAUAUAGCAAAACCUCUCUUAAUUAGUCUUGCCAAAACACGUAUAAUCCUAUCUAUCUAUAAAGUUACAAAACAGUUACAAAACACUAUAUCCUAUAACUCAACACGCACAUAUAUCACAUCAUCAUUCACUAAUAAUUAUUACAUUUUAAACCUCAUGGAAGCAUGCUAUAUUAUUUAUAUAAUUUAUUAAAUUUUAGAGCUUUAAAAUACAAGCAUAUAUUUAAAUCAUCAUCCCACAUAAUUCACAUAAUAUUUCAAUAUAUAUCUUCAGCAUUGUUUACAAUAUCACAUACCUAUAUUCAGAUAAUAUUCACUACUACAGAAAGGCAUAUACAAGUCACACGAAACAUCUAAAACCGACACCUAUAGUGCUUUUUCCACCUUCGCGGGCUGACAACAUUUAUACUCCCUCCGUACUCGUAAAGGAAGUCAUUUAGGACAGCGACGCGGUCUUCAAAACACAACUUUAACUUCUUGUUUCUAUAAAAAUAUUUAUUUAAAAGUGAUAUAUGUAUACUUUUAUGAAAGUAUUUUUCAAGACAAAUAUAUUCAUAUAAUUUUUACCUUUUCAAACUCAAUAACUUUGAGAGUUAUUUAUGAUUUAUAUUCCCAAGGUUUGACUUAAACAUUGUACUAAACGACUUCCUUUACGAGUAUGGAGGGAGUAUGUGCCAGUUCUUUUAAAAACACUGUACCUUAAAUAUAAUAUAUUAUAUGAAAAAACGACACCUAUACCAAACCUAGCCAAACAGGCAAACCGAGUACCUGACCUUAUCCACUCGCCCACACCUGCCUCGGUCUCUUUCUCUCCCAUACUUCUCUCUCUCUCUCUCUCUGUGUCUCAUGUGGCGGCGGGCGGCAGCCUAGCGGAGGUGGCGGUCGCACCCUCCCCUCUGCUAGAUCCGAUGGGAGGGGGUGGCGACGACCGCGCCCUCUCCUCCGCUAGAUCCAGCGGGAGGAGAGACGGUGGCGGCCUUCGAUGGCGGGAGGGGAGGCGGCGACGGCUACAACGGGAGGAGAGAAGGAGGCUCGCCCCUCCUCCUCUUCUCCUCUUCAUCCGGCAACCGUGGCAAGGGUGGAGUAGGACGUCGGCCCUAUGUGUAUCCUCGUCAGGCAGUAGUCCAUCGAAGCUUCAGCGUCUUGUUCUUGAUGUUCAUAUUGAUGUGUUCUUGGAUGUUGUUGAUGUUCAUGUGUUCUUUGAUCUGGUCGGGGUGAAGGGGAGAUGCUCGAUGCAUCAGCUCGAUUCGAGUUGAUGCACGAGCCACUUUCUUUUUGGAUUCUUGAGACCUCAAAGGUGCCGGUUCUAGAACUGGCCCCUUUGAUUUCUCUCAGCAGUGUCGCCUUCUCCAACCGACACCUAUGUGGGGUUUCCAACCAGCAUCUAUUUGUGUUUAUGUAGUAGUGAUUUCAAUAUAUAUCUUCAUCAUUUUUUUUACAAUAUCAUACCUAUAUAGUUCAUCAUCACUUAAUUAAUGUUAUUUCUUUCUUAUCUCAUCAAGCCAUAUCACCUUAAUUAUUUUUGGCCUUUAAAUAAUUAAUCUAUGGUCCGAAUCUUUUUCUCUCUCAUAAAGACACACCAUCUUAUUUUUUAUAUUUGGAUCAUCAUGCUAGUUAAAUUCUCGUAAACCACGUUAACUUAUAUAAGCUUAUGCCGUUUAGCUAUCUUAAAUAUUAUUUCUACUUAUUAUCAUAUAGAACUUCCGCAACAAUGCAUGUGAGGUUUCAUGUAGUCCGUGCAUGUGAAACACCUAGAAAAUAAAAAUCAAUUACACACAUCAUAAUAAAAUGGCAAAAAUUAUACAAUAACUAGUGCUGUUAUUUCACAGAACUGGUACUGUACUAAGCUCGAUACGGUUAAUACGAUAUUGUUGUACUCCGUAACAGACAAAAAAAAAACAAACAAAAUAUCGUAUUAUCAUGCGUGCAGUUUACAGUAUCGUACGUACAUGUGUGCAUGUUGCAGGAUACUCCUGGCACUUUGCCGGCAGUGUCCGACUCCUAUACUGUCCCUUCUGCUGCAUGAGCUGUCAUGCAUGCUACUAUUCUCGUCUCAAAACAUAACAAUAUAAAACUGAAUGAAAUAUAUUGUGUACAGUUCAACAAAUUUUGACUAAAAUAAAUUUUAACCAGUUUUAGUUGCUAUAUUUUGAAACAGAGACUAUUACUUCCUCCGUUUCACAAUAUAGGUCAUUCUAGCAUUUCCCACAUUCAUAUUGGUAUUAAUAAAUCUAGAUAAAUAUAUAUGUCUAGAUUCAUUAAUAUCAGUAUGAACGUAAAAAAUGUUAAAUUGACUUAUAUUGUGAAACGGAUGGAGUAACUUUUACUUAGGGCUGCUUUUAGCUUUUACUGAUCCGGGCACGCAAGGUACGGUACUCCUACAUAUAUGGGUAGCAGUUCGGUACGGUAUAUUAGCUAGGCUAAGCUUGUGCAUGAAAGUAAUUAAUGAAUUGUUUAUGCAUGCAGUUAAGUAAAGAAAAAUAGGAUUAAUUCUUCUUCAGCCAUUCAGGGUGCAUGAGCUAGCUCUACCUUUUGUCUUACAAAAUUAUAUUCGUUUUGUGUUGUAUGUAUCUUUUUAUUCUUAUACACGCAGACGUAGACACCCAUACACAAUUACACACGCAACACCACAUAUACCCUCAAAUCUGCCUUUUAACAUACAUUUAAAGAGACGGGAACUAGCAGCCGUCACACAUGAUUUCACUAAAAUCCUACAUUGCUCACUUGCAUGUGCAUAUAUAAUAUUUCUUUGUGCCUUUAAUUUCUUGUGUUUUUCUUGUGUAAACUCCAAACAAUUUGAACAUUCUUGCAUUCUUAUAAAAAAAACCAUAACUGCAUACGGCCUGAUACAUGACUUUUUUGUAUUUUCCCUAGCUACCAAUCUUUUUCACUUCUUUUUUCUUUUUUGCAUCCGAGCGGAUAUAUGUUUAAUUUGUUUCAUCAUCUUUUUCACUUCUUUUUUCUUUUUUUGCAUCCGAGCGGAUAUAUGUUUAAUUUGUUUCAUUGUUGUUUACUAGUAAUAUAUAGAUAUUUUAAGGCAUGUCUUUUUUACUGAAAACGUUACACAUCUGUUCGUCAUGUUGGUUAAUUAGAAACGGAACACACAAGCAAUUGCUACUUUCUGGAUUAACUUAUUGUUAUCUAACGAUAUUGUUUGAAUACAUUGAUGUAAAUAACACGUACCUACAGCUAAUAUGGUAGCUGGUAUUGUAUAUUGUCCAUCAGACAUCUAUGUAUGGACGUACUGUAAUUGUAGCAAAAGUUUGUAUGUACUAUAGUAUAUAUAGGACACACAUUUCCAAAAUCAAAGGGUUCACUACGGACUAGCCUCACUGCCACACACAUGCAUGCAUAUAUAGCUGACACGAUAGAGAGAAUGUUUGUCUCCCAAAAAAAGUGAGAAGGCCAGCUUUUGACAACUGACAGAGAUCAUAUAUAUACAUAAGCUAGCUGACAUAUGUAACAGCAAGAACAAGUCAUGCAUCCAUGAACGACACCCAAUGAAUAGUAGAAGUACACCUACAGUACGAUCUGCUAGUUUCACUACAUCCGAUUCUCUCCAAUCUCCAUAUUAUUAUUAGCUCCAAACAUAACAGAUACAAGAAGAAAGAACUAAGAAACAUGAUACAAAAGUGGCUUGAUUAAUUAGCAGCAGUAGGGGGUAAUAAAAAAAAACCUCAAGCUAAUCACUCAGCUGAUAGUAAAUAUAAUCCUGAUCCCGGCUAGUAGCUAGCUAGCGAGUUUGUUCUCGUUUAUUUCGUCCUUAGACAUGUGAUCACUAUCUCUCCUUCAUCCUGAUCUAGUGAUCUCCUCAACAACACAAAACAACAAAAGAUCACAAGGCACACACAAAAUAUUGCUAGUAGUGGUACAUAGUACUCUGGUUGUUGCCCUCAUCAAAUUAACGGUACUAGUAGCUAGCUAGUUUUGAUCAGCUAGCUAGCUAGCUGUGGACGAGGCCACAGGAUAGGGUCAUGAGCAGCAUGGCGGCGUCGGUGAUCUCGUCGCGAGGGAGGCCGUGGAAGAACGCCGGAGAGGCGGCGGCGGCAGCGGCGGUCGCCGCCGCCUUGGAUAUCGGGUUCUGUGCCGGCAUGGAGGUGGCGGCGGCGUUCUCGCCACCGACGACGAUGACGUGAUCUUGGUCCUUCGGAGCGGCGGCCACUACUUCUCCAGCAGCCGUGGGCUUGGUGGCAGCGACGGCAGCAGCAACGUGAUCGACCAUCUUGCACCGUUUCUUGAACGGCAGCGACCGGUCGACGUCCGCCGCCCUCUUCUCCUUCUUCGCCGCCGGCUUAUUGUUCACCGGCGCCGCGGCCACGCUCUUUGCCGGCGCCACCGCCGCUCCGCCGUUGGCAGCAGCGGCCAUCGCCCGCCGCGCCUUCCUUUGCCUGAUGCCACACGCGUUGCAAAGGGACUGCACCAUAUGCAUAGCACAACACACAAUUUAAACCAAGGAAAUCAACAAUCUUUAACAUAUGCAUGAUGAUCUGGUGUAACAAAACAAAGAGAAAAUGCACAUAGUAAGGUAGCAUAUAGCACCCAGACAGACAGAUCAACACAUGAGUUUGGGCAGUUGUUAAUAGGGGUGUAAGAGCAAGUAAAUCUCACCUUGGGGCCACAAGGACCACUUCUCCACAAGGGGGUCUUGGUGGUGUUGCAGUCCGAGCACACUCUAACGACACCCAAAGCUUGCUGCAGUUGUUGCUGGCUCUCAUCCUGGUGCGCUUGUGCUCUUCUCCUUGGCUUUCUCACCGCCCCGCCCUCAGGAUCGGUUGCCGCCCCCUUCCUUAUGAUCCUCAUCUUCAUUGGCGGCGUCGACAUCCACUUGCUGGUUGAUCCAUUGGCAUGCUGCUUGUUGUUACUCUCGAUAUCGUAUGGAUCAUAAGAUGAUCGCUGGAUCAUGUCGCUGCCGAUGCUUUGGAUGGUUGGUCGGAACGGAGACGGUGUGAGGAAGACAUCUGAUCCGCCCAUCAUCAUGUGAUCAUUGAACUGCAAGAGCAAAAAAAAGAGAAAAAGAAGAGGAGUAUAAGCUAAAAUUAUUAGGGCAAGCAGCAUAUAUACUAAGAAAGAAGCACUGAUCUACAUGUGUAUAAGUAGCUAGCUUGUUCUACACAUGUAUGUGAUCGAUCCCCUCACCUGUUGAUUGGAUUCACCCAAAACCUGCUGCCUCCUCAAGCCCUGAUCUCCAUAGAUUUGCCCUUGGUGCUCGACGGCGCUGUCGAUCAUGAAAGGGAACAAGAUAGGAGGGUCCUUUGCUCUAUGGAAGGCUGGGUAGAGCCCCUGAUCCUGAUCCCCCUCCAUUAGAGGGAGAGUAGCAGGUAGCUGGCUCAUGUAGAUAGUAGACAUAUCAGAGAGGAGGAGGAGGAAAGAGAUGGGAGAGAAGCUAUAGCUUAGCUGAGGAGAUCUGGGAAUUAUAUUGGUGUAGCUUCAGGCAGUACAAACAACUGUAUCAGGGAUAUUGCAUAUAAGGAAGAUAGAGAUGUGGAGAGGAGAGUAGUGUGGCUGCCUAGGGGCCGGAGGAUCUGCUGUUGGAGGGGCAAUUUACAAGGGCCCAGGGGAUGAUCAUGGACAGUGGAGAGAGGCAUGUCCUUUUAAUAAAAGGGAAGCAAGAGGAGCCAAGAGCUGCCAUCAAUCCCUCUCCAGCUCGGGCCUAGGAAGAUUUAGAAGGAUGCCAUGUGUGUGAUCCCUUUCCUGAGAAAGAGGGCGAACACAGUUAGCACAGGAAAACCAAAGGCAAACAGUGGGGAAAAAAAAAACACACUGCGCACUGUACAACAUGCAAAACAUUCAUUCCAAAACAACAACCAAUUAAGAUCUCAUGCAUGCAGCUGCAGGCAGUAGCAGCGUGUGCCCUACCUGGCGCAGCAGUAUUCAUCGUUUUCUACAAAAGUAUUUUGCCUGUUAUCUCAAGACCGUGAUGCAGGAUGAUUGCAGCGUUGCAUACAUCAUGCACUAUAUAUAUGUUCCAAAAUCUCAUCCAACGGCUCAUGUGACGAGUAAGCAAAUUAAUUAGCACCCAUGAUAGAGUAUAUGUUUGCACAAUGGCACUAGACAUAUAUUUCCCAUGUAUAAACAGCUUAGCACCUUAAUGUAGGUAAUAUUAAUUUCCUAAUGAAAUAUUGCAUGGCACGCUCUGCAUAUAUAAAGUGUUUGGAUCUGUGGGUUUCGACUGUGAAACAAACAGACAUACAUACAUAUAUUCUAAACUCUCAAGGAGACACCCCUCGUUAUUUGCACGCCAUCUAAAUGGUUAUGAAAAAAAUUAAAAAAAUUAACAAGAUAGAUUAUUAUAUGGUAAAUCACUCCACAAUCAUGCAAGAUCAAAUUUAAUUUCUAUAAGUUGUAACGUAAAAAAUAAAUUUGACUAUGAAUACACGUUAACUAGCCAUAGUUUAGUUUGUUUUUUUGUUGCAACUUGUAAAAGUUGAAUUUUAAUUUGUAUGUUUGUGGAGUGAUCUAUCACAUAUUAAUCUAUCUAGUUGAUUUUUUUCAUAAUCAUUUGAAUGAUAUGCAAAUAACAAGGGAUAAUCCCCUCGAGAGUUUAGAAUCCACUCCUAUAUAUAUGUGGUAUUGGAAGUACAAUAGGCGUCAUGAUUUCCUCAAAAACACGAUCAAAGAGAAAACAAGGCAUAGAAUUUCACUAAACCAGGGAAAUUCAACAAUUAUAUCUAUAGCUUUUGAUUUCGAGUAAUAUUAUUAAUUUAAGAGUAUCAGUUGGGAUAUAUUUGACCAAAUUUGCUUCCAAUUCAAAGAUUAACUUGUAAUAUUAGAUAUCGUGAAGUGAGAGUAGCUCAACUGGUUAGGUUCUUUGUGGUGGAACCAGCCCACCCAAGUUCAAAAACUAGAUUUGACACGGUGUUCGCAACGGCUUAUUAUUCUUUCAGUGGUAGGCGAUGUACCCAUCAACAACAAGGCAUAUGUGGUGACUUCGUCAAUCUCAAGAAAUGUCGGCCCAGUCUUUCUGAGGUGCUCUGCCUUCGUCAAUCUCAAGAAAUGUGCGUUCAUAGGGUGACUGUACGUGCGUUGUGGGCGCUUGCAUUUAUACUGUGUUUCUUAAGAAAAAAAAUGAGAUAUCGACAUGUUCUCUAAUACACCAAUAUAAACCCCCCAAAAAAAGAAAAAGUAUGUCCCGCAAAACAAGUGAUUCCGUGUUCAUACAACAAAUUAACCUUCUUUUACAAAAUUGAUCACACUUUUGAAAACAUUUAUUAUUUUAAGAACAGAGGGAGUUUAAUCUCCCUUGUUUGGCUCCAAAAUUAAUUUAUCAAUAAAUUAUGUAUUAAAUACUCUCUCUGGUUAUAGUGACAUUUUGGAUGCAUGUCAGCAUGGUCCCAAUACAACCUUAAUGCUCUAUUCAUAAAAUAUAUUAAAUAUUGACAUAUUAUUUUGUGAAAGCACUUUUGAAAGCCAUCCACACAUCAAUUAAGUGUACCAAUUCUCCUGGUGUGCAGGGCUGUCUUUGUGACACUGCUUUGUAUAUACCCCUGUAAAUCCAGCCCCCUGUUUUCUAUUCUUCUCUUUUGUUUUGUCUAUUUUGUUUUUCCUGUUUUCCCUUUUUUCUGCUCCCUCUACCCCCUCUGCUACACUCAUAACUUGUAACCUAUAAACCUCAUUUCUCUUAAUGAAAUGACUAUAAGGUAGGGCAUGCUCUACCUUCUUGCGUCAAAAAAAAUUUAGUGUGCCAAAUCUGAAACUUAUAAAUAUGCCUAUAGCCACAUUAUUGCCUUUUGUGACUAGGCGUAGCUAAUUACCAGCAAAAUCAAAACCUCACUGCAAGUUGAGCAAGAAAUGUAUGAUCAAACAAACAAGUCGUGCACAUCAUCAUCAUUAUUAUUAUUAUUAUUAUUAUUAUUAUUAUUAUUAUUAUUAUUAUUAUUAUUAUUAUUAUUAUUAUUAUUAGUUCGAAGAUGCAUAGAUUUAAUUAGCAUCACAUGAAGGAGUUGUUUUUACGGGAAUAUAUAUAAAUGCGUUCCCUGUAUGAACUACAUGAAAGUUUACAUGCAAGUAGCUUGUAGAUCAGCUGGCAAAUCCUACCCUACACCAUCCAAAUCCUGCUACUGCACGAGCACAUUCGAGUAACUAAUAAUUAAUUGCACGACUAAUAGUCUAAUCAGCAAUCAUUGACUGCGAACCUAUGUAAAUAACUGUAUAUUGUGACAUGAUCACAUCUACUCCCUCCAUCCCAUAAAAAACCAAUUUAAAAUGAGAUGUAACGUUUUCUAGUACAAUGAAUCUAAACAGAGGUAUGUCCAGAUUCAUUGUACUAAAAAAAAUCACAUCAUAUCCUAGGUUGGUUUUCGUGGAAUAGAUGGAGUAGCUAGCUAGGGCUACUACCUAGUUAACUAACUCUCACAUGCCAUGCAUCUGUUAGUACAUGCAGUACAUGCACGUUUCCCAGCACUGUAGUAUAAACGACAGAUCGGUUGAACAAAAGCUGGAGCCAUUCAGCAGGGAGGCCUGCCUGUGUAAAAUCGGGUGAAGAAUCAGUGCAGUGGCUCUAAUAGAUAGGUUUGCAUGAAGAAGCCAUUAGCCAUCCCUCUCUCUCUCUGGUUUUCUCUCUCACACAGUCACACACGCACUGGAGACAAAGAAACAUUAAGACAUGAGCAGGCAAUGAGACACUUCCUGCGCCAAGGGCCCCAGGCCCAUAUGCAAGCAUGGUUUUUGGAUUUAGCGGCAGAAGCAAAUGUAACAGGGGUAGUUUUGCCUCUAGCCAAGAGCUAACACCGGCAGUACGAAAUUAAUCAUAGUAUCAUACGAAAUUAUAUCAGAUAAUUUUCUGGCGGCAGUAGGAGGCCGAGAGAGAGAUUACCUUAAUGAAAUAUGCCAAGUACGGAGGAUCAAAUUCCAAGAGUUUCAGCACAGCUAAAAUAUAUGAUAUAUAUAUAUAUAUAUAUAUAUAUAUAUAUAUAUAUAUCCCCAGAGCCUACAGCAACAUCAACAAGACAUUUAUACCAUCAUCAGUUCAAAGAUUAAAAAUAUACUACUGUUUAGGCAAAAUAUUUUUACCUGCUCUGAUUUGUGAUGAACAGAGUCGACCUAGGUCCAUGAAAGGGCAAAUCUUUUCCACGACUCAGAACAGGAUAUACUGACUGCAUGAUCUCAUCAUACUGUUACAUACGCUAGCCAAUCUACGGCCUGCCUGCUGACUAUUCAACCAGUCUUUAUCAUCACUUGGGAGAGGUCGAGGGACUAAAAUAAAGCCAAAGCUGCAAUAAACAUGGCACACAUCCCUCUAAUGCGCAACCAAAAUCUCACUUAUUGCCCAUGAGCAAGAGAGAGGAGGAGCAGAAACAGCUUAAACCCUGAAAGCGACGGCUCUUCCCACAUGACAAGCCCACACACUUCCAUUGGCAAGGGUCCAAAAUCUGGGCAACUUGUUCCUCCCCCUCUCGUGAUCCCGUUGGGGACAAAGCUCAGCGAGGAGCGCUCCCAAACAAGCAACUAAUGGAGCAGAUUUUGGGGCUGGCAGCGCAGCGCGCCCACUGCGCGCGCCUCCGUACGUACGCGGUAUAUAUGCGUACAAAGGAGACAGAGGUCGACAACGAAAACGCCCGUUUGGCGAGAUCGUUGAUCGAUCAACCUACAAUGGAGAGCAGAGAGAAUCAGUGAUCAUCAAAGAUAGCAAUAGGAGUAGGACACGUGUCGCGUAGGCAUUUCCCAGAGUGCAUCGAGAUCGGUGACGCACCUCUGAGCUGUGUGGGAAGAAGGAUACUGAUGAAGUAGGAGAGAGCUGGGACUGGAGCUCUUUUGGUAUUUUGGAGAAGCUAGCACCUGGGUUUGUACCAUCUCGACGAAAUGACGAGCAGAUCUCUGCACUGAACUUUUCGCCUCGGUUUGCGCAAUAAUCUGUCAGGCAUGGUUCAGUUGUGAAUCGUCAUAUCCUCAGACAGAAUGCAGAAGUUGUCUUCGUGACAUUGGAUCUAGACCCUUUAUGAUUUAUCCGGAGUAAUCCCUCCUGCAUAAAUAAAGAUACUGCAAGAAGAGUGCAGCUAUAAGUCAGCACAGAAAUUUGAGAUUGAUAAGGUGGUAUAUGUUAUCAAUAAUUAAGCAUCUAAAUGAAUUUGUCACAAUCUUAUCUCAAGAAGUGACCAAAUGAUCCCCCAUACUACCGCAAACAGUACUGUCCUUGCCUCAUCAUUGUGUAAUGAGCCAUUUUGUUAUGCAUGAUGCAAUAUCAUUCGAAGUGCUUGAGCAAUACUGAAGGAGAUUGAAUCUAAAUUUAACAUCUACUCCAUAUAUCUAAAUUUAACAUCUACUGAAGGAUCAAACUCUUAUGGUAAAGGCUGCAGCUGUGACAUCAUUCGUUUACUUAUGCUGACAGUCCAUGUGCUUAAGCUACAGUAGUAGCAAUAAUGUAAGAGCGUGUUUCUGUUAAGACAUGCAUGCUAUAUUCUCCAAACGUAACGGAAGCAAGAAAGAGAUCUCAGCUAUAGAAUAGAUCUACUAGAAAAUGACUGGUUAUCCUCAAAACAUCACACAACACCAUAAGAUACUUCUGUCUCGCUCAAGAUGUCCGGUGAAAUAUUGGAAAAGUAUGCCACAAAAUAAAAGUUAAAAAUAGCAUGUAGCCAAACGACAGCUUUUCGCUAAUACGGUACUAGAGAGAGGCCGUAUAUAUAUGUUCACAGAUAAUUACAUGAAAACUUCAGGCCACACUACCAAAUUCUUAUCGUACCACUCGUAUAGCUGGAUAAUGUUCACUUUGAUAGACAGCCAGCUUCUAGUUUGUAUGAUGGUUAAGAUGUAUACGUAUGAGCCUUUUGAAUCACUCCUUGAGCAAGAGUGUCUGUGAGAAUAAAUUCACUCACUGUCACAAGAUGUAAGGUGCCCAGCUCAAUGAUAGACUUGUGGCCAACAAAAAUGUAGCUUUCACAAGGCUCUUGCAAAUCCAACGGGAUCAUGGCUUUGUGCAAAAAGACACAAUACGCUCCAUGCCUACGUGGACCCUCAUGUGUGUGUGGGAUCAUGAUACACACAAAUGAGAGGGUUUAUGUAUAUACAUGCACUUCAUCAUUACUAAAUAAUAAGAAAGAAAACAGAACGCUACAGUGUUCAGCUUUGAAGGGUUGCUGCCAGUCUAGCAAUGAAUUUCAUGAAGAAUAUCAGAAGAUGUACUGUUGCUAAACAUAAAAUGUUCCCAAAUACUCCAGCAAAAAAUGAUUCUCUGUUAGCUCUAAAUACUCAGUUAACAGAAUCAUGGUAAAACCAGGGGUAGAAAUGAGGAAAGGGAAAUAAAAAGGAGUCAGAAAAUAAAAUCUAAAUAGUAAUCUUGAGUGAAGAAGCUGAGGUGUUCAUACCAGAGUGCAGGCUAAAGUACAAAAACCCAACUGAGAGGUGUUCAUGGUGAAUUAGGCUUAUCAGUGGCACCCAAGUGAAUAAAAUGUUCUAUACACAACAGGCAUUGCCAAGAAUCACUUCUUUUUUCCAAUCUUGCAAACUUCUCUUCAUUAGGACAAAGAAAGGCCUAGAUAUUUGAGAAAAGUUGCGCUGCAGUCUCCAAUUGUCAAACAUCUUCUAGGAGUAGGCAAUACCAAGUUUAUCAUCAAGAAAAAGGAGGCCUGCAAUGACACUUACAGGAAUAAUAUCAGAAAUGUAGUAACUGCUAGUAAACAUGUAAAUCAAUGAAUCACAAUAGUACAAAAAAUAAGAGAUGGAAUAGUUCAGAUAUGAUCAUAAUUUGAUUUAAUUUUUUAAAAGUAUACCUAUGAUAAUAUAAUAAGACAAAUAUGUGAUUACCAAGCAAUGCAAUAAGUGGCUCUGCGCAGCACACAGCCAUAACGAGCCGUUGCUAUUAAAGAAACAACAAAAAGACAGAAAACAAAGAAUACACUAAUUGAGAGGAAUUGGAUAAGGUAACCUAGGGGUGUGAUGAAGGGCUGAGCCACAACCACUUAUUUUUCGGCUUAAUGUCACUCCACAUGAUUUUGAGAUUAUGCUACGAGUGAAUGAUGCACCAGGUAAUUUUUCAAAACUAGGGGUAAAAAGGGAAAUGAGGGUUUACCAAAUCAAGGAUGGAAACUAUGGGCUUGUUUGGGGAAGCUUCUAGUUGUUAUAGCUUCUCCCAGAAUCAUAAGCUCCCCUAAACAGUCCAGCUUUUGGUCCAAAUUCUGAGAAACUGUAGUUGUAGAAUCCAGGAAAUGAACUAGAAGCCAGAAGCUGGGAAACCCAGCUUUUCCAGAUUCUCAGAAGCUGGAUACUAAUCAGCUGCUUAUUAGAAUCUUAAGCUCCCCCAAACAGGCCCUAUAAUAUUGUUCCCACUUAUUUUGUAAGUCUCCUACUUUGAUACAACAGAAGCACACAAUAUCAGAACAAUCAUAAGAUUUGAUCUGUUGAGGCACCAAUUUUUUUUGGUUCACUGCACGUUCCUGGAACUCUAAUGUGAUGCCUCACCAUUAAAAUUUCCACCUCUAAUUUUUUUUUUGUAAAUUAAGCUAUAAUAGUUUACAUAAUAACUAAGAAAGCAUAAAAAAAAUAACAUGCCAUAUGCAAAUAGUUGAAUGGAUGGAUUAUGUUCAGAGCUCAGCUGGGAGAACAUUCCUGAUGUGCUACCUCUCGCUAUGUUUCCAUCACAUCAUUGAAUUUCAUUUAUAUGAAGAAAGAAAACAACACAGCGUAUGCAGCAACUACAUGUACUUUCUCUCUCAUGCUUAAAUCUUGCAAUCAUGUCUCAAAAAUAAUUGUGAAUGUUUGUACCAUGCAACAACAAAAUAAAGGUGUAUCCAGGAAAGUUUGAAAAGAAACAUAUGACAUUGACAAGUCAAGACAAUGGACUAGCUAAUGGAUAGGAUGGGGAGAAUCGUCUGGGUACGGAUUUCUUAACAUAUGAAUGUGAUGAUAGUAAGUGUAUAUUGUAUAAGUAUAUUUUCUGAUGCCAGGUAAUCUAUAAAGUGUUCUAUUUUGGUGCUUCUUUUUUGUUUUUUGUUUAAAGCAGACAUGAACACUAGCAUGUCUGUGCGACCAUAUCUCAAUCGGGUGAAACUUCGGCCCGAUUGAGAUUACUUCCUUGUGACGGCCUGCUAAUUCCAGGCAUGUUAGGGGCCGUCACAGAUGGAAGGAUCUGUACUAGUGACUACCAGAUUCCAAGGCAGAGGUCUUAUGUUCCUAUUUUUCUGUAAAGAAUAUACACAUACCCCCCCCCCCCCCACCUUCCUCCCUUAACAUUUCAACAUUAGGAACAAAGCUGCACAAGCCGCUUUCACUUGACGGAACUUGCUCAGGCUGUUUGAUCCUACACGCAGAGUUAUAAGCUUUUAAUUAGAUGUUAUUCUAAGCUAUGAGAAUGACCCAUCUAGAUCCUUUUUGUAUGUUCAAUAAAGGUGCAGCCUACAUAUAUCUAAAGAAAAAUGUCACACGAAAGGGUUUGUAUUGGUUAACAGCUAUUUAAGCUUAUGGUACAGCAGCUGCAGACUUCUCUGAGUUCAGAUAGACAAACAAUAAUCUAAUCUUAACACAUAGAGCCACAUUUCUUAAAGUAUUUAACAAAAAAUAUGGUUGAAUCAAAGGUACGGAAAACAUGCUUGAACUAUUGCAUCAGAUUAAAACUAGUGACCUGAAAGAAUCUAAAUAAUUUUGACACAAGCCUUACCUGUAGUUCAAGGUAUACACUACAGGUGAAGUUAAGAUUGAUUUUCAUCUCACUGUAGGUCCAACUUUUUUUACUAUAAUACUUGCAAAAAAAAGAAAGAAAGAUUUGGCCUUCCCUCUCAAAAUCUUCACAAACACAUAAAACUUCAACUUGAAAGCGCGGCAGAGCGCACUUAGCUUUCAGAAAUCAGAAUUAUGCGACGUCCUUAAUACGACACAAUAUGCUGAUGCUUACGAAUAUUGCAGCAAGGCACAAGAGAAUACAUGAAUGAAACUACAUCAAUCUAAGAAUAAAGAACAACCAUUGUGUCCAGUUUCCAGUUGCACCCACCGCCACCAUAUAUUGUGGUAGAAACAGUCACUAGGCAAGGUAUAUCUCUACCGUCUCUGUUGGUCUCAUUUGGCACUUGGACCCGUCAAAUAUAGAAUAUGAUACUAUAAAAACUAUUAAGAGGCAUCAUAAGCAAACUGUCACUAUCUUUUAAUCAACAGUCAUAUCGCUCCAAUCCAGUUACUUAAGCACAUAUGGCCAGGACCAAACCACAAUGCCAGUGAGACCUUGACUAAAAUCAUGAUCCCUAACUUUAUACCGGUGCAAAUAAGCCGUAAAUGGUAAAAAUGCCGAAAGAAACGCCGAAUUUUCUGCACUAACUAAGGCACCGCCGGAUGCUUCUCCGACCACCACAUCCACAGCCGAACCCAAGAUCAGGGACGCACAGAAACCUCUACAAGCUCAUAUAGCUCAACACCCAGCGUCGCCACACGCAAGAAAGGUACCAGACCACAAAUCUUGGCCGGGGGCGCAUUUCGCCGAACAUGUGGUGAGCGACGACGCAGCGUCGCAGGGCAAAUCACGCCAGCGCUUCCAUCUCACCAGCCAACACAAAAACCCAGGGUCUAGGAGCGGAAGACGAUGAGAAGGCCGCGUAUACCUGCAACAACUCAUCUCCGCCCGCCGCCGGCGACGCCGCCGCGCCGCCGCGUCGCCGCGCCCAGAGAGCACAGCCCAACCCGACGCCGUGGGAGAAGCAAUAAUAAUAAACUAAUCAGCACAAAAAAAAAAGCAGAAAAGAAAAAAAAUAAAGGAUCGUUACGACUGGAAGGCCCAACAAGAAAGGACUAAGGCCCAUUUCAGCCCAACAUAUAAAGCGAAGGCAUGAGGCCCGUUACAGCCCAACAGGCUCGACUGAAGAGGCCCAGACGAAUGGCCUCGGCUACGGAGAUGCCGAGCCUGAUCUGCGCCGUUCGAUCCCUCAUCGGACGGUCAGGAUCACUCGCGCGGCAACCCUAGGCGAGAUUGCGAGGCGGGCGCCGCCGCCUCCAUAAGUAGGCGGCGCCGAAUCCCUCGUCGGCUGCUGCUACUUCCACUAGGGUUUCGUCUUGCUUCUCCCGCUGCUCGCCUCGCCUCCUCGACGGUAAGAUCUCCCCGAUUUGCAACAGCUAUUGUGCUCGCGCGAUUAUUGCUUGUUGCGAAUCUUGUUUUUGCGGAGUUCUUUGAUACAUAUGUAAAAUUUUGUGGUUUCCUCAUGACGUGCAGAUCUGAGAUCAUCGAGAUCGAUUGAGUGGAGCUAGGCGGCGGCUAGGGCGAGAUGGCGCUCGUAAGUGUGAUCUAUCCAUGUUACCUGUUCAUGCUUAUCACGUGUUGCUACUUGUGCGAAUUGGUUUGAUUUGUGGGGAUUAAUAGUGGGAAAGCUUGGCCUGAUGCGGUGGGGGGUUUGGUUGUUCAUUUCAAAUUAUAGCUUGUGCGGGUUGUUGUAUAGUCUGCUAUGAGAAAAUCUUUUUUUCUGCAUGAUCAGGGUUGAUUUGAUGCGCAUUGCUACCCAGUGUUUCGAUCUAGGAAGGGUUUUUGUAGGGUGUUGACAAUUUAGGUGUUCAGGAUUUGACUUGGAUCGUUGACAAUGUUCGGUUAUGUCUAGCAUCUCUGAUUUUCUUCAUGCUGGCUUGCGAGCUCGUUGAUAUCAAUGAUUUCUGGUGUUCUUUUACUGUUACUUUCUGGUUCAAGUGCUGGUGGUUGAAGAAGAUUUAUGGUGUUCUUUACUUUGUUACUCUCUGCUUCUAAUGCUAGUGGAUGGAGUGAAUUACUUAAUUUGUAGUAAGGAGCUAUGAUUUUUUUUCUGCACUGUCAUUUUUUUCUGAUUAUCUCAUUGGAUACCAAGUGUUGCACUAUUGCCAAAGUAAGUUCGUAUUCAAUGCAAGUAAAUGAGUGCCCAGUGUCAUGCCGGCUUGUUAACAUUAUACUCGUUAUCCUGCAUAGACAUGCACAGGGUUGAUUUCCUAGAACGCUUAGAGCUUUUUGUUUGAUGCAAAUGGAUUCAUUUACAGUUUCCAAAAUGUGUUUUAUUUGCUUUCAGAAUAUCUGAUCUCACGUUGACCUUAUGUAGCUCAGCACUUCUGCACAUAAUUAUAUAAUUAUUUGCAUUGAUUAUCGCUAUGCACAACAUUGGAAGCUAAAGUUACUUUGUAAUAUAUGCUUCUUGAUCUGUGAAUUGGUUCCUCUGCUUGUAUCGUUUUUGUUUAUCAUGCUUGUGUCUCCAACCUUAUGUACAUUAUUCGUCUGUGAUUAGGUAUUGCAUGCUGGCAGUGGAAACAAGAAUGCAUUCAAGGCACUCAUUGCUGCCGAGUACUCUGGUGUCAAGGUUGAGUUGGUGAAGAACUUUCAGAUGGGUGUCUCCAACAAGACACCUGAGUUUCUCAAGAUGAAUCCUAUUGGGAAGGUUUGAACAAAAACCAUCCCUGUAUUUUGGUACAUUCGCACAGAAUCUUAUUUGGACACGUUUUCUUUCAGAUUCCUGUUCUAGAGACUCCUGAUGGUCCUGUUUUUGAGAGCAAUGCGAUUGCACGAUAUGGUAAGUGAUACAUAGCAAGGAAUUGGAGUUCUCUUAAUCUUUUUCUAUCAUAUCUGAUUUAGUUCUAAGUCACUGUCAUUUUCCUGAAGUUACCCGCUCGAAGGCUGACAACCCACUCUAUGGGUCUUCACUGAUUGAAUAUGUGAGUGGUCUUCCAUAGAUAUUUAAGAUCAUUCUUGAUUAUUUUACGAGCUUCUAGAAUUGUAUGUUUCUUCCAGGCCCACAUCGAGCAGUGGAAUGACUUUUCGGCCACAGAGGUUGAUGCUAAUAUUGGAAAAUGGCUCUACCCACGGCUAGGAAUUGCUCCCUAUGUUGCUGUGGUAAGUAUGGUCAAGUGGGUGUCAUAGUGUUUUCCUUGUGUCAGCAAUUUGUUGUCUAAUCUUAUUUCUGCCCAACAGAGUGAGGAAGCAGCUAUUGCUGCUUUGAAGAGAUCAUUGGGUGCCCUCAACACACACCUUGCAUCAAACACAUACCUUGUUGGCCAUUCGGUGACUCUUGCUGAUAUUGUGAUGACCUGUAACCUCUACAUGGGCUUUGCUCGGAUCAUGACCAAGAGUUUUACUUCUGAGUUCCCUCAUGUUGAGAGGUACUUCUGGACCAUGGUUAAUCAGCCAAACUUUAAGAAAGUCUUGGGUGAUGUGAAGCAGGCAGAGUCUGUCCCACCAGUUCAAAAGAAGGCUCCACCACCAAAGGAGCAGAAGCCAAAGGAAGCCAAGAAAGAGGCUCCAAAACCUAAGGCAGUUGAGAAACCAGAGGAGGAAGAGGAGGCACCAAAGCCAAAGCCAAAGAACCCUCUUGAUUUGCUCCCUCCAAGCAAGAUGAUCCUUGAUGAGUGGAAGAGGUUAUACUCAAACACAAAAACAAAUUUCCGUGAGGUUGCUAUCAAGGGUAAGUUUCUUUUGGGAAUCUAGUAGUCACUAAAAGGUUUCCACGUAGAAAAGUAUAGUUUCUUUCGGGAAUCUAGUAGUCACUAAAAAGGUUUCCACAGAGAAAAGUUUACUACAUUGCUGUGAGUACACUAGAAAGAUAUGAGUACAAAUUGGCUUACAAAUUAUAACAGCUACUAAAGAGUCAAUGCAAAUUUGUUUGUUGACCUGUCAACUGUUAGCAAGUUAUAUCUCUUUGAUUACCAUUAUUUGUCAUCUGCUCCCAACUUCUGUUGUGUAUGAAGUUCUGUGAAUUGAACUCAACAUGUCUUCUCACUUAUUGCAGGUUUCUGGGAUAUGUAUGACCCAGAAGGUUACUCCCUGUGGUUUUGUGACUACAAAUACAAUGACGAGAACACUGUGUCCUUCGUGACCAUGAACAAGGUUGGUGGGUUCCUGCAGCGAAUGGACCUGUGCCGCAAAUAUGCUUUCGGGAAGAUGCUUGUGAUCGGCUCUGAGCCGCCAUUCAAGGUGAAGGGUCUUUGGCUCUUCCGUGGCCCCGAGAUCCCCAAGUUCGUCAUGGAUGAAGUCUAUGACAUGGAGCUCUAUGAGUGGACCAAGGUUGACAUCUCAGAUGAGGCCCAGAAGGAGCGCGUCAGCGCCAUGAUUGAGGACCUGGAGCCAUUUGAGGGCGAGUCGUUGCUGGAUGCGAAAUGCUUCAAGUGAGGCGUCGUUGGAGCAAGGAUACCGUGGAAAAUGAGCUAUUUAGGUUUUGGAUUUACCCUUCUACAAUAGUUCAUGAUUAUGAAAAAAAAAAUACUAUCACCAUGUGGCUAUAUUAGUCAAUAUUGAGUGUGCUGGUCUUUUCUUUUUGUACUGUUUGCUAGAGUUUUGGCCCUUUUUAACCUUGUAGUUAAGUUGUUAAGACACUUAUCCAUCGAAUCAUCGUCAGAAACACACCAUUCGAAUCUGCUGUUGCUCAUGUGUUAAACUUGCCAUUCUGAUAAUGUUUUGGAAAUAGGCAACAAAACGAGUUAUGGUGCUGGGUUAUUUUAUGUAUUUUAUUCUGUUGUUCAUGUUUGUUGUGUUUCUUUUUUUUUUCUUUUGCUUUCAGCGCUGGGCACGCAGACGAAGGCCAUGUUCGUUUCUAUUGAGAUUUUCUUGAUUAUCUGGUUUGGUGAUGGCUAUUUGAGGGUAUAUAAAUGAAUGAAUGAACGAAUUACUAUUAAUUUAAAAUUUUGCUUUAGAAAAAUAUUUCCAAGAAACUUCUAUUAUAUAGAAAUUUUUUACAUGAAAAGCAUAGCUUGGUAAGCCGGAUAAUAAUCUCCUGAAUCAAAAAUGGGAUCUACAACGCAUGGAUCAGAGAUUUGCGUUUUGUCAAUGUGUCAACUUGCCUAAGCAUUUGCGGAGUAAAUUUAGUGACGUUAAAGAAAGAAAGGGAAGGAAGGAGAAACAACUACGGAUGACAACGGUUUAGGGUUUAGAGUUAAUGUGGAAGAAAUAGAGGGAAUGAAGGAGAAAUAUCGUUGCUAUGCAUGACAACGGCUCCUCAGAGUCAAGUGAAAGAAAGAGAGGGACGCAUGACAUGACAACGGCUCCUCAGAGUCACGUGAAAGAAAGAGAUGGAAGGAAGGAAAAACAUCGUUGAUACGCAUGACAACGGCUCAGAGUCGACUCUUAGCAUUCAUUAACGAAAAGUUUGUUGCAUGAGAGUGGAGAAAAAUGAAAGAAGUAUAAUAAAAAUUUAUUUAUACAUUAAUGGUUUAGAAAACUUAUUGUCUUUAUUACUUUAGUACUUCCUCCGUUUACUUUCUAACAUUGCUAAUAUUCAUAUAUAUGUUAAUGAAUCUAAACAUAUAUGUGUGCCUAGAUUCACUAACAUCUAUAUGAAUGUGAAGAAUGCUAGAAAGUCUUAUAACCUGAAACGGAGGUAGUAGGAUAUAGUCUCUAGUAAUAUUAAUUAAUAUAAAGAGCUCAUAUUAGACUCUACCUUUAUACAUGCCUUGAAAUUAACUCACAGCAUCACCACCAUGCGAACAUUAAAUCCUCCUUACUCCAUUUCGUAUUCUAUAAUACUAUCUCCUUCCCCUUAAUAACGUUGGUCCUUACUCCACUCAGUAUUCUGUAAUACUAAUCUCCUUCCCCUUAAUAACUUUGGUUAGUUUAAUUUUGAGUAAAUUUUAGGGUGUUUGGUUGUAGUCACAGUUGUGGCAAGAUUCUCUUCCAAUAAACGAGUCAUAUACGUUAUUGACUCAAAAAUGUGUUGCAAGAUUUUCUUAGGCUUGCUAAAGUGUGACCAAGAAUUUGAUCGCCUCACUUAGACAAGUGUGGCAAUACUUUUGUAUGUAGUUUUAUGAUAAAUUAACCUAUAUAUAUAUAAUUUUCUAAAAUUUAUUUAAUUUUUUUAUGGGAAAGAAAUGGAUUUAAUUUUUUUUAGAAAAAAUGCCCAAGGCCCGUUUCGAUCCAACGGGCUCGACUGGAAGGGGCCAGAGUGCCAGACGAAUGCCCGCCUACGGAGUGGUUGGAUCUGCUCUGCGCCGUCCGAUCUGUCGCAAGGCUUACUCAUCGGACGGCCGAGAUCACCCGCGCGCAACCCUAGGCGAGAUCGUAAGUAGAAUCGGCUGCGUCGAAUCCCUCCACUGUUUUUGCUGCCGCUGCUACUUCUUCCACUAGGGUUCGUCUUGCUGCUCCCUCCACUGCUCGCCUCGCCUCCGCCACCGUAAGAUCUCCCCGAUUCGCUACAACUAACUAGUGUGCUUGCGCCAUUGUUGCGUACUGUUGAUUUUGCGGAUUUUUUUUUAAAUUUUUUUGGAUUUUUGUUUCCUCAUGAUGUGCAGAUCUGAAAUCGAGUGAGUGGGAGCUAAGGCGGCGGCCCCGUCGAGAUGGCGCUCGUAAGUGAUUCUUGAUCUAACCUCGUUUGCUCGUGUUCUUUAGUUGAUUUAGUGGAGAAGCUUGGCAUGAUGCGGUGGGGUGUAGUUUUUUUUUUUUCAUUUUCAAAUUGUAGCAUCUGUGGAUUGCUGUAUGAGUCUUCUGUAAAGCAUAUCGUUUUUUUCUGCACGAUCAGGGUUGAUUUGGUGCGCAUUUCUACCCAGCAUUUAGGGAGGGUUUUGGUAGGGUGGUGACAGUUUAGGUGUCACGGAUUUUAUUUAGAUCGGUGGACAAUGUUCGGUCUAUGUCUAGCAUCUCUUAUUUACUUAAUGUUGUCUUGCAAGCUCGUUGAAAUGCAGAUUUCUGGUUUUUUUUUUUACUUUGUUACUUUCUGGUUCAAAUGCUGGCGGAUCAAGUGAAUAUUAAAUAAUUUGUGCAGUGAGGAAGCAAGGACCUGCCUUCGAAAUUUUUCUAGUCUAUAUUUCUGAUUAUUUGAUCCCAAGUGUUAAAGAUUGUUGCCAAGGUUUUCCAAUAGUUAGCCUUUCUUAUAUACAUUUGAUGAUGUAAGACCAAAUUCAAAUGCAUACAAAUGAAAGCCUGAUCACAUGACAGUUUGUUGACAAUAUAUACAUUAUCCUGUAGAGAUUCGCACAGGGCUCUGCUUUCCUAGAAUGCUUACAGCUUCCUGUUUGAUGCAAAUGGGAUUAUUUGGAGUUUCGGAAAUGAAGUCUUAUUCGCUUUCUGAAUAGCCGAUGAGCAUGUAGACAUGUCUCAUGCAGACAUUAUAGCUCAGCACUUGUGCACAUAAUUAUAUAAUAUGUAUGUAUUGACCAUCACUCUGUAGAACAUUGAAUGGCUAAAGUCACUGUGUAAUAUGUGCUGCUUGAUCUAUGAAUUUGUCCCGUUGUUUGUAUAUUUUUUGUUUAUCAUGUUUGUGUAUCCAUCCUUAUGGACAUGCUAGUCAAACUGUCCUUGUAGUGUUGUCAUGUCAUGCACUUCCCUAACCUAUUUUCACGCUCAACUUUGUAACUUGCAUUGGUGUAGGUAUUGCAUACUUUCGAUGGAAACAAGAAUGCAUUCAAGGCACUCAUUGCUGCCGAGUACUCUGGUGUCAAGGUUGAGUUGGCAAAGAACUUUCAGAUGGGUGUCUCCAACAAGACUCCUGAGUAUCUCAAGAUGAAUCCUAUUGGGAAGGUUUGAGCAAAACCACCUCUGAAUUUUGGUACAUUUGCACAGAAUCUGAUUUGGACACGUUUCCUUUCAGGUCCCUAUUCUAGAGACUCCUGAUGGUCCUGUUUUUGAAAGCAAUGCGAUUGCACGAUAUGGUAAGUGAUACAUAGCAAGGAUUCCGUUCUUUUAAUCCUUUUCUCUCUAUUGCUUGAUUUAGUUCUAAGUUCCUCUCAUUUUCCUGAAGUUACUCGCUCGAAGUCUGACAACCCACUCUAUGGGUCUUCACUGAUUGAAUAUGUGAGUGAUCUUUCAUAAAUAUUUAGGAUCAUUCUUGAUUAUUUUCCAGCUCCUAGAAUUUUGUGUUUCUUUCAGGUUGAUCUUUCAUAGACAUUUAGGAUCAUUCUUGAUUAUUUUACCAGCUCCUUGAAUUUCUUGUUUCUUUCAGGCCCACAUUGAGCAGUGGAUUGACUUUUCAGCCACAGAGGUUGAUGCUAAUACUGGAAAAUGGCUCUUCCCACGUCUUGGAUUUGCUCCUUAUGUUGCUGUCGUAAGUAUGGUCAAGUGGGUAUCGUUGUGUUCUCCUUGUUAGCAAUUUGUGAUCUAAUCUUGUUUCUGCCUAACAGAGUGAGGAAGCAGCUAUUGCUGCUUUGAAGAGAUCAUUGGGUGCCCUCAACACACACCUUGCAUCAAACACAUACCUUGUUGGCCAUUCAGUGACUCUUGCUGAUAUUGUGAUGACAUGCAACCUCUACAUGGGCUUUGCUCGGAUCAUGACCAAGAAUUUUACUUCUGAGUUCCCUCAUGUUGAGAGGUACUUCUGGACCAUGGUUAACCAGCCAAACUUUAAGAAAGUCAUGGGUGAUGUGAAGCAGGCAGAUUCUGUCCCACAAGUUCAAAAGAAGGCUGCAGCACCAAAGGAGCAGAAGCCAAAGGAAGCCAAGAAAGAGGCCCCAAAAGAAGCUCCAAAGCCUAAGGCAGCUGAGAAACCAGAGGAGGAAGAGGAAGCACCAAAGCCAAAGCCAAAGAAUCCUCUUGAUUUGCUCCCUCCAAGCAAAAUGAUCCUUGAUGAGUGGAAGAGGUUAUACUCAAACACAAAAACAAACUUCCGUGAGGUUGCUAUCAAGGGUAAGUUUCUUUUUUGGAAUCUACUAGUCAGUAAAAAGUUUCCAGAUAGACAAAUUUAUUGCAUUGCUUUGUUGCAAAGGAUAUGAAUACAAAUUAGGAUACCCGUUAGAAUUUGUUUGUGUAGCAUCAUAAAUAGCAAGCAUGCAUGUGACUUUUUUUAGAUGUUAUAUGUUGUUAGUUACUUUUCAACUGUGAACUAGCUAGCUGUCCAGGAUCAGCUGAAGGCCUGGAGUUGUUGCUUUUACUGCAACUUCAGCAGUCAUCACAUCCAGUAAUCCAACAAGCAACCAAUGGCUAGACCAAGAGCAUCUCUUUUCCUUUCUUUCUUUAUCGAAUAUUUCCAAAACCAUGAAAUCAAUGAAACAGAAAAUUAAUAAAAAUAUUAAGUUGGACUAUAAAUAAAAAAACGCCUUGUUUUCAGAACUUUAAAAAAUGACACUGUUAACUAUGCUAUUCUUGUGUCAAUUUGUAUCUCAAACAUUCUAGUUUAGAGAAAAUUAACAUCUUAGCUAGAGAAUUAUAGCAUGCAAAAACUGUUAGCCUCUUGUUGUUGGAUGGAGAAAAUUAACAUCUUAGUUAGAGAAGAUGCUCAACAUCUUAGCCCAUUGGUGGCUUGAUGGAUGGCUAUAUGUGUUGACUGCUAAAGUUGCAGUCAAAACAACUACCUCAGCUGAUCCUGAUCUGUCAAUUAGUUCUCUCUUCUACACCAUUAUUUCUCAUCUACACCAACUUCUGUUGAGUUUGAACUGCUGUGAAUUGUACUCAAGUUAUCUUCUCAUGUAUUGCAGGUUUCUGGGAUAUGUAUGACCCAGAAGGUUACUCCCUGUGGUUCUGCGACUACAAAUACAAUGAUGAGAACACCGUGUCCUUCGUGACCAUGAACAAGGUUGGUGGGUUCCUGCAGCGAAUGGACCUGUGCCGCAAAUAUGCCUUCGGGAAGAUGCUUGUGAUCGGCUCUGAGCCGCCAUUCAAGGUGAAGGGUCUUUGGCUCUUCCGUGGCCCCGAGAUCCCCAAGUUCGUCAUGGAUGAGGUCUACGACAUGGAGCUCUAUGAGUGGACCAAGGUUGACAUCUCAGAUGAGGCCCAGAAGGAGCGCGUCAGCGCCAUGAUUGAGGACCUUGAGCCAUUUGAGGGCGAGGCUUUGCUGGAUGCGAAAUGCUUCAAGUGAGGCGUCGUUGGAGCAAGGAUACCGUGGAAAAAUGAGCUAUUUAGGUUUUGGAUUUACCGUUCGAAAAUAGUUCAUGAUUCUGAAAAAGAAAACACUAU
rnacentral:lncRNA from 1 species